GAAAUUUAUUAUAUUAAACUUCUAAUUUAAUUCAAGUGAUCCUAAUCAUUAAAAUUUCU
rnacentral:tRNA from 1 species